CCUCAAUGAAGCUUUUCAACCCCUUUGUUUUGAAACGGCGGCUUUCAGUUGGAAGGAAGAAAGGUUAAACAAGACGGUUAAAUGACUUGACAGUGAAUGAAGACAUUUCAUCUUGAUUUACACGGAGUGUGGAGGGGUGGCACGCUCGUUUCUUCGUGUAGCUGAUCCCCUUUCCCUUCCCUGAAAUCUGUUUCCAAUUGACCUCAGCCAUUUUGAUCCCUACUUUUAGCACAAAUGGGAAAUGUCACCGGAUUAAGAUAAAAUCAUUAUUCCUCCUCUUCCAGUUCCCGGAAGGGCUUAGUUGGGAAAUGGUGAAAACCACUGACGGAAGACCCAAGGGGGAGUACGCACAACAGCCUCUCAGCAUCGGAUGCUCCUACUGGUAGGAGCAGCAUCCCUGGCACGCUUCUCAUAGCGGGGACAUGGGCUGGGAUCUCCCCCGACUCAUCCCUGCCAUCCUCUGGAAAUCCGUGGUGAGGAGGCAGCGUUCUGUCCUGUUACCACUCCCUGCAGAGAGGAGGUGGCGCUUGCAGAAAUACUGAGGGCAUCUUGGAGGUUGCAGCAACCUGUGCACUGAUGGAUGGAGAUCAUAGAACCACAGAAUCAUUCAGGUCAGAGAAGACCUCCAAGAUCCCCAAGCCCAAUCCCAACCUAUCCCACUGUGUCCGUUGACCAAUGUUCCCAAGUGCCACAUCUCCAUGGUUGUUAAGCACCUCCAGGGUCAGCUUUGUGUCACCUCUAGGGGAGCAGACAGAAGUUUGCUGGGUGAUGCUGAACAUCCCUUCCCAUGGGCGUUAUGGGAUGCCAACCUGCUGCUCACCACAGCUUUGGAUACAUGUUGGGAAGGCAAUGGCUGCACUCCUCUGAGUGGUCCCAGCUGUGGCGAGAUGCCUUCAACGAGGUUGAGCCCAAAGCUGAACGUGGAGCUGGGAUGUUGGGGUUUCUCUUUUGCAUGACUCCUGCCUGGUUUCCUUCUCCUUUUGCAGCAUGCUCAGCUCGGAGCUUUUGUGCUUUAAACCAGUGCAAACACAGGGUUUUUCAAAGCUCACUUAGCAGGGAAGCUGAGAGAAGAAAAGGUUGCAGGGCCCAAUGCAAAAUUCAUUCUCACUGCAGUGGCGGUGACCAAUGUGGGAUCUGGUUGAGAACUGAUCCGGGUAGGUCAUAAGGCAGGUCUUCACCACUGUUCUUCGUUUGCUUUGUCUGCUGUGGCCCUAAUUCUGCAGACGGGAUGGAUUGUCCCUUUGGGGUCAGUGGGGAUGCUCUGGGCACCAUGGCAUGAGUGGGCAUGUGCAC
ensembl:lncRNA